AUGGAGCAGAAUAAUGUGCGCCACCGCUGCAAGCCACAAGAGGAAGAUAGGCUGGGCGCCCUGACUGACGACAUCCUGCUCUCCAUCUUGGGGAGUGUGGACCUUGCGACGGCCGCAAGGACCAGCGCUCUGUCGACGCGCUGGAGGAGCCUGCCAUGGCUGCUCCCCGACCUUAACCUCCAUGUUAGGGAUUUCCUGCCCGCCCCAUGCCCAGAUUACCCUGUUGCUGCUGGGCAGCAGAUAUAUUUUUAUUCUCAAAUACCAGCGCAACACAUAGAUGAAGCAAUGGCAUCACUGACAAGAGCUGCUAGGAGUUUCUUGCGCAUCAAAGGCAGCAGCAGAGUCUCCAGAAUGUCCCUUGAGAUCUACCUGAUUGGCAAUUACUCGCAUGAUAUUGGCCCGCUGGUCCGUGACGCCAUUGACAACGGCAUGAUAAAAGAACUGGACCUCACCAUUGCGGACGACAAGGAUUACGAUUGCAAAGGUGGAGACAUGCUACGGAAAGCACGGGACGUGGACGGGUUCUUCAGCGCCUAUCCUAAUAUACUUCCUUGCCUCACAAGGCUCCAGCUUUACAACCUGCGCUUUGCUGAGGGGGAUAUACAUAACGUCUUAUUUGAUUGCUGCAAGCAGCUGCAGCACCUUAGUCUGGAACACUGUGAUGUCGGCGACUGCUCGGUGUGGCAGGUAGACUCGCCGAAUUCGGUUCUCAGGGUUCUUGAAGUCCGCUAUUCCUACUUGAAGAGGCUUGAGGUGCUCUGCCUUCCCAAACUAGAGCUGCUCAGUUGGGAGGCGUGGAUGCACUGUGAGCCCCCCUUGCAUUUUGGUUAUGUCCCGUCCCUUAAGGAGUUAUUCCUUGUGUGUGGUGCAGACCUUGAGCACAAGGGGUUUAGUUUAAGCCAGCUUUUAGAUGGUGCCACAGAAAUUCAUACCCUGACCUUAAAUUUCCAAGGAGAAAAGGAAUGUUUCGUUGAUUUCUUCCUUGAUUUGUCUGUUGACCAGCUUUGGAUCCUGCCGGAAAGCAAGCAACUCCGGGCCGCAUUCAGCAACCUAAGGAAGCUGUCUAUUCAUGGCAUAUAUGUUGAGUUUGACCUGUUAUGGACAAUAAAUCUCCUUGAAGCUGCUCCAAGUGUUGAGAUAUUUGAUAUUGAGGUGUUUGAACAUCCAUGUCUGGUACUAUAUUGGGAGCGCGUUGGCAUUCAAAGAGUGAAACCUUCUUGGAAGGUGGCUGGGUUCACAAGCUGUAACAAGUGGAAACUCAGAGAGCUUCAUGUGACCAACUUUAGUCCCCUCAUGGAGCAACAUAUGUUAUUUGUACGUGAGGUGAUGGAUCGAGCACCAAACUUGAAAACUGUUAUUUUGAAAGAAGAUGAUGAGCCAUGCAAGGAUUGCGAGGCAAUGGACGCACUGCCUAAUCUGGUAGGAGGCUUGUUUCCAAGGACCAAAAAUGAGCAAGAAACAAUAGCCCAGCAACUUAGGGACAACAUGGUUGGCUCGUCCUCGCUGAAGAUAAUUUUCAAAAGUAUUGUUUCAGCGGUGGUAUUCUGA
rnacentral:rRNA from 1 species